rnacentral:lncRNA from 1 species
GGUUGAUCAUCAUGGGCUGGCAAGCUACUUUCUUGUAUGCCCUUGAAGCCUGCAUGAGCAUUCGACUUCUCUGGCCAAUAAUAAAGCAUGUUAUUGUGGUGUUUGUGUCUGCACCUUGCUCAUCCCAUGCAUGCCCCAGGAGUGACGGAAGUCAUCUGUCAUGUAGAGGCACCAAGGCUUGCAGAGGACUUUGCACAAGGAACAUUGAACUUGUUGAGUUAAGCCAUUGAGAUAGAGUGGGUGUCUGCUUCCCGCAUAACCAUGUCUGUUCUGCUCACCCAGUGGUGAAAGGAUGGGGGCGACAAUGGGUAUACAGUGUCUUAGACACACAAUGGCCUGGUGCAUAAUUGUCAGCAAAUGGUAGCUCUUCUUUGAAUUAGUCUUGACCCUGACAGUGAUUAUAUGGAUGACCUGGAGCCUUACCUACAGUUUCUUAUUUUUUACAUCUUAGAACAUCUCCAGUCUCCCUGUAGAUAUGAAGGGCUGUUGGAUAAGUAAAUUUGUGACUACUGACAUUGGGGAAGGAGCCAGAGCCAAUGAGGAGCAGGAGAGCGAGUAGUUAGACUGCUUUCAGCUUCGAACUCCCCUGCAGAGGGUCCACCUCUUCUGGAGCAAGGAAGUGGGUGGAACUCAGAGCUGGCCGUGGAUUGCUGGGUGAGUUUUACCCUGCACAGACUCAAGGGGUUUAACCAUCAGGGGGAUUGCAUAAGACUUGGUCUUGUAAAGUUACAGUAUAUUAAAAAUGCUUUGGAACUGAAGUCCUUUUCUCUCGGAAGAGUAAGUAGUAGUCAAGUGCUAGAACAAUCUGGAAAACAGCAGGUGCUCAACAAAUGCGUUUUUUCUUUCUUUAUUCUUUUCCAGGUUUCAUAACUCAUGCCUUGCUGUGCUUACCCAGGAGAGCUGCCUCCCUUCCCUUGGGCCAAGACACACAGAAGUGCUAUUCUGCACAGCCAAUGUCCAUUCACAUAAACCCAAAUAUUUGCUAUUUAUUAUCGUUGGCUUUGCAUCUGAAAGCAUGUCCUUUACUGAGGAUCUGCUUGUACCUUGCAUACUCCAGCUUUUGUUGGUGUAAAGAUGUCUUUCACUUUCACUCUUACAGAAUAUGUUCACCAUGUAUAGUGUGUUACACGAUAAUGGAACAGAAGUGAAUCACCAAGUCUUCCUGAGCUGUUGAGUCUCUUGCUGAUGCUAACACCGCCAUGAAGCCCACUAUGAUUUCGGCGCCUGAUCUUGUAAACGUGGGUCUGCUACCAGACUCACUUAGCUCUUGACUGCAUUACUGCAUGUUUGCAAUUCAGAAUCAUUGUGUUUUAUUAAAGCAGCC